rnacentral:rRNA from 1 species
CGUGUAGGCGGGAAAGCAAGUCAGAUGUGAAAUACCGAGGCUUAACUUCGGAGCUGCAUCUGAAACUGCGUUUCUUGAGUGUCGGAGGGGAAAGUGGAAUUCCCAGUGUAGCGGUGAAAUGCGUAGAUAUUGGGAGGAACACCAGUGGCGAAGGCGACUUUCUGGACGAUAACUGACGCUGAGGCGCGAAAGCGUGGGGAGCAAACAGGAUUAGAUACCCUGGUAGUCCACGCCGUAAACGAUGGAUACUAGGUGUGGGAGGUAUCGACCCCUUCCGUGCCGCAGUUAACACAAUAAGUAUCCCACCUGGGGAGUACGGCCGCAAGGUUGAA